UGCAGUCGAGCGGUAGAGAGAAGCUUGCUUCUCUUGAGAGCGGCGGACGGGUGAGUAAUGCCUAGGAAUCUGCCUGGUAGUGGGGGAUAACGUUCGGAAACGGACGCUAAUACCGCAUACGUCCUACGGGAGAAAGCAGGGGACCUUCGGGCCUUGCGCUAUCAGAUGAGCCUAGGUCGGAUUAGCUAGUUGGUGGGGUAAUGGCUCACCAAGGCGACGAUCCGUAACUGGUCUGAGAGGAUGAUCAGUCACACUGGAACUGAGACACGGUCCAGACUCCUACGGGAGGCAGCAGUGGGGAAUAUUGGACAAUGGGCGAAAGCCUGAUCCAGCCAUGCCGCGUGUGUGAAGAAGGUCUUCGGAUUGUAAAGCACUUUAAGUUGGGAGGAAGGGUUGUAGAUUAAUACUCUGCAAUUUUGACGUUACCGACAGAAUAAGCACCGGCUAACUCUGUGCCAGCAGCCGCGGUAAUACAGAGGGUGCAAGCGUUAAUCGGAAUUACUGGGCGUAAAGCGCGCGUAGGUGGUUAGUUAAGUUGGAUGUGAAAUCCCCGGGCUCAACCUGGGAACUGCAUUCAAAACUGACUGACUAGAGUAUGGUAGAGGGUGGUGGAAUUUCCUGUGUAGCGGUGAAAUGCGUAGAUAUAGGAAGGAACACCAGUGGCGAAGGCGACCACCCUGGACCGAUACUGACACUGAGGUGCGAAAACGUGGGGGAGCAAACAGGAUUAGAUACCCUGGUAGUCCACGCCCUAUACGAUGUCAACUAUCCUUUGG
rnacentral:rRNA from 1 species